CUACAGGUGGGUGGUGCAGUGUUCCACUCGCGUCAGUCAAGUGAUGUUCUAAGGGGGAGGAAAUAUGUAAGGGUAUUGGGGGUUUCACCAAUACGAAAGAAAGAGGAAAGGGGGCGCGCACUGAGAGGAUUGUUUAAACAAUAAACGGGGGAGGGGGGUUAUGAUUCUUUCACCGAAGGAAAAACCCGCGAUUAUGGGUAGGUGGUUUAUUAGUCUUCUUCGGACGGGUGAGUAACGCGUGAGAAUCUAGCUUCAGGUCGGGGACAACCACUGGAAACGGUGGCUAAUACCGGAUGUGCCGAAAGGUGAAAGAUUUAUUGCCUGAAGAUGAGCUCGCGUCUGAUUAGCUAGUUGGUGUGGUAAGAGCGCACCAAGGCGACGAUCAGUAGCUGGUCUGAGAGGAUGAUCAGCCACACUGGGACUGAGACACGGCCCAGACUCCUACGGGAGGCAGCAGUGGGGAAUUUUCCGCAAUGGGCGAAAGCCUGACGGAGCAAUACCGCGUGAGGGAGGAAGGCUCUUGGGUUGUAAACCUCUUUUCUCAGGGAAUAAAAAAAUGAAGGUACCUGAGGAAUAAGCAUCGGCUAACUCCGUGCCAGCAGCCGCGGUAAUACGGAGGAUGCAAGCGUUAUCCGGAAUGACCGGGCGUAAAGCGUCCGCAGGUGGCACUGUAAGUCUGCUGUUAAAGAGCAAGGCUCACCCUUGUAACGCCAGUGGAAACUACACAGCUAGAGUACGUUGGGGGCAGAGGGAAUUCCUGUUGUAGCGGUGAAAUCCCCCGAGAUUUGGAACACCGGCGGACAGCGCGAAAAUGGGAUUAGACCCCCCUGUGUAUGGGCGGGAACGCGGCUGAA
rnacentral:rRNA from 1 species